rnacentral:rRNA from 1 species
GACGAACGCUGGCGGCGUGCUUAACACAUGCAAGUCGAACGGAAAGGCCCUGCUUUUGUGGGGUGCUCGAGUGGCGAACGGGUGAGUAACACGUGAGUAACCUGCCCUUGACUUUGGGAUAACUUCAGGAAACUGGGGCUAAUACCGGAUAGGAGCUCCUGCUGCAUGGUGGGGGUUGGAAAGUUUCGGCGGUUGGGGAUGGACUCGCGGCUUAUCAGUUUGUUGGUGGGGUAGAGGCUUACCACGGCUUUGACGGGUAGCCGGCCUGAGAGGGUGACCGGCCACAUUGGGACUGAGAUACGGCCCAGACUCCUACGGGAGGCAGCAGUGGGGAAUAUUGCACAAUGGGCGGAAGCCUGAUGCAGCAACGCCGCGUGCGGGAUGACGGCCUUCGGGUUGUAAACCGCUUUCGCCUGUGACGAAGCGUGAGUGACGGUAAUGGGUAAAGAAGCACCGGCUAACUACGUG